CCUGGGGUUCAAAGCUUCUGCUCAAAGAGCUGGAGGGGGCUGAUCUGUGUGUGUCAGGCGUGGUGCUCCUGGGCACAAGGAACCCAGUGAGGAGGCCAAGCACUGGCUGAGAGAAGUUCCAGAGUGGACACAGCAGGCUCGACUCGAUCCCUGAAUUUCCAAUGAACACCCCUAGCAUGGAGUCAUAUGGCUAUCACCUGCUCCCCAUCUCCCCUACCAGGAAAUGGAAAUCUCAUCAUCAGACACAUGUACAGGGACCAAUGUCAUUGUUCUCCUUCCAGAUAUGUGGGAGGACUGGCCCAAACACUUAAAACUGCUGUGAAAUAUAGAAUUAACAUCUGUUUGUGGACCUCUGUCGAUCCUCUUGGUCUCACCAUUUGCUUCAGCUGCUGUUGCAGCCACCAAUUUCACAAGGCUUAGACCAGCUUUACUUCAAUUUAACCAGAAACCAACUCAUCUUUAUUCUUCCCUGAGCAUCUCUUGUUUUCCUCCCUGAAGGAACUUCUUGCAUUAUGGCCUGAGGUACCUGUAAGGACAUGGCAUCUCUCACACAUGCACACUCUGGAAGAGCAGGAGGACAUAUCUGAGAUGCAUUCCAUAAAAGGUUGUUCUGGCAAGAUCUAGUACCACUGACCCUUAGCAGUGGCCAACCCAGAAAUGCGUGCAACCAAAGAGACCGUACUUUGUUCCACUAAUCGACUUGUCUGAAGUCUUCCUAGAGAUUGCUGCUGGCCACCACUGUGAAGGGAAAGGGAAUGCUGUGAUCGACUGGACUUCAUGGAAAGCAUAAGAGAUGAAUUGUGUGAGACCUUAGGAAAGAGACUCCAGAGCGCUCCCUUACCUUUCCCAUCCUGCGAGGUGACAGCAAAAGGACAGCUAUCUAGGAAACAGGUCCUUACCAGACAUCAAAUCUGUACCCUGAUCUUGAGCUUUCUAGCCUCCAGAAUUGUGCGAAAUAAA